rnacentral:rRNA from 1 species
UACGUAGGGGGCUAGCGUUGUCCGGAUUUAUUGGGCGUAAAGAGCGUGUAGGCGGCCAGGUAGGUCCGGUGUGAAAACUCGAGGCUUAACCUCGAGAUGUCAUCGGAAACCAUCUGGCUAGAGUCCGGAAGAGGAAAGUGGAAUUCCUGGUGUUGCGGUGAAAUGCGCAGAUAUCAGGAGGAACACCGGUGGCGAAGGCGGUUCUCUGGGCAUUACCUGACGCUGAGGAGCGAAAGUGUGGGGAGCGAACAGG